AUUGAACGCUGGCGGCAUGCCUUACACAUGCAAGUCGAACGGUAACAGGUCUUCGGAUGCUGACGAGUGGCGAACGGGUGAGCAAUGCAUCGGAACGUGCCCAGUAGUGGGGGAUAGCCCGGCGAAAGCCGGAUUAAUACCGCAUACGACCUGAGGGUGAAAGGGGGGGAUCGCAAGACCUCUCGCUAUUGGAGCGGCCGAUGUCAGAUUAGCUAGUUGGUGGGGUAAAGGCCUACCAAGGCAACGAUCUGUAGUUGGUCUGAGAGGACGACCAGCCACACUGGGACUGAGACACGGCCCAGACUCCUACGGGAGGCAGCAGUGGGGAAUUUUGGACAAUGGGCGCAAGCCUGAUCCAGCAAUGCCGCGUGCAGGAAGAAGGCCUUCGGGUUGUAAACUGCUUUUGUCAGGGAAGAAAUCUUCUGGGUUAAUACCUCGGAAGGAUGACGGUACCUGAAGAAUAAGCACCGGCUAACUACGUGCCAGCAGCCGCGGUAACAC
rnacentral:rRNA from 1 species